UAGAGGGGUUGGGUGCGGUCUGCUUCCCUGCCCUCUUGUGGAGAGGAACAAAAGGAAAAACAGGACUUGUUUUCUUAGCUGCUAUGUCAUGAGGACACUCAUAUAUGAAGAGGCCCUUCUGGAGGGGAACUGAGGCCUCCUGUCAAUGACAAUGUGAGCGAGCUUGGAAGUGGAUGCUCUAGCCCCAGAGAAAGUCUUAGAUGACUGUAGCCCUGGCCGACAGCUUGACUGCAAUUUCAUGAGAGACCCUGAGUCACAACCACCCAGAUAGGUUGCUCUCAGAUUCUUGACUGUCAGAAAUGGUGUGAGAUGCUGGAAAGACUCGAAUGGCUGGGGCUGGAAUCACCUGGUGCCUGAGCUGGGAUGACGUAGAAGGCUCAGCUGGCACUGCUGUCUGGAGAGCCUACACAUGGUCCGUCCACGUGGGUUGGCUUCUCAUAGCAUAGCAGCUGGGCUCCAAGAGGGAGUGUCUCAUGGACUAUCCCCAGUCAGUGAGUUUUUCAGUGGCCAGAGGGUAACCUCCAGGAUAAUAACCCUGGACUCACUGCGCUUCUUGAACUGAAACCCUUUCUCUGUCCUGGAUCCUCUGGUUGGAGAGUUCUCUGAGCUCCUUGGGCCCAGCUCCCAGACGCUGUGUCUUGGAGUGAUUUCC